rnacentral:rRNA from 1 species
AGAGUUUGAUCCUGGCUCAGGACGAACGCUGGCGGCGUGCCUAAUACAUGCAAGUCGAACGCUUCUUUUCUACCGAGUGCUUGCACUCACUUGAAAAGAGGAGUGGCGGACGGGUGAGUAACACGUGGGUAACCUACCCAUCAGAGGGGGAUAACACUUGGAAACAGGUGCUAAUACCGCAUAAUAGUCGACAUCGCAUGGUGUUGAUUUGAAAGACGCUUUCGGGUGUCACUGAUGGAUGGACCCGCGGUGCAUUAGCUAGUUGGUGAGGUAACGGCUCACCAAGGCCAUGAUGCAUAGCCGACCUGAGAGGGUGAUCGGCCACACUGGGACUGAGACACGGCCCAGACUCCUACGGGAGGCAGCAGUAGGGAAUCUUCGGCAAUGGACGAAAGUCUGACCGAGCAACGCCGCGUGAGUGAAGAAGGUUUUCGGAUCGUAAAACUCUGUUGUUAGAGAAGAACAAGUAGGAGAGUAACUGCUCUUACCUUGACGGUAUCUAACCAGAAAGCCACGGCUAACUACGUGCCAGCAGCCGCGGUAAUACGUAGGUGGCAAGCGUUGUCCGGAUUUAUUGGGGCGUAAAGCGAGCGCAGGCGGUUUCUUAAGUCUGAUGUGAAAGCCCCCGGCUCACCCGGGGAGGGUCAUUGGAAACUGGGAGACUUGAGUGCAGAGAGGAGAGUGGAAUUCCAUGGUGUAGCGGUGAAAUGCGUAGAUUAUUAUGGAGGAACAGCAGGUGGCCGAAGCGACUCUUCUGGUCUGUAACUGACGCUGA